GUCAGUUUGGCCGAGUGGUCUAAGGCGACAGACUCGAAAUCUGUUGGGGUUUCCCCGCACAGGUUCAAAUCCUGUAGCUGACG